UACGGAGGGUGCAAGCGUUAUCCGGAUUCACUGGGUUUAAAGGGUGCGUAGGUGGAUUAGUAAGUCAGUGGUGAAAUCUCCGGGCUUAACCCGGAAACUGCCAUUGAUACUAUUAGUCUUGAAUACCGUGGAGGUCAGCGGAAUAUGUCAUGUAGCGGUGAAAUGCUUAGAUAUGACAUAGAACACCAAUUGCGAAGGCAGCUGGCUACACGAGCAUGGACACUCAGGCACGAAAGCGUGGGGAUCAAACAGG
rnacentral:rRNA from 1 species